UGGGGAAUAUUGGACAAUGGGCGCAAGCCUGAUCCAGCCAUACCGCGUGGGUGAAGAAGGCCUUCGGGUUGUAAAGCCCUUUUGUUGGGAAAGAAAUCCAGCUGGCUAAUACCCGGUUGGGAUGACGGUACCCAAAGAAUAAGCACCGGCUAACUUCGUGCCAGCAGCCGCGGUAAUACGAAGGGUGCAAGCGUUACUCGGAAUUACUGGGCGUAAAGCGUGCGUAGGUGGUCGUUUAAGUCCGUUGUGAAAGCCCUGGGCUCAACCUGGGAACCGCAGUGGAUACUGGACGACUAGAGUGUGGUAGAGGGUAGCGGAAUUCCUGGUGUAGCAGUGAAAUGCGUAGAGAUCAGGAGGAACAUCCAUGGCGAAGGCAGCUACCUGGACCAACACUGACACUGAGGCACGAAAGCGUGGGGAGCAAACAGGAUUAGAUACCCAAGUAGUCCCUGAGCGGGCUGGCAAGGCGCAU
rnacentral:rRNA from 1 species